AUUGAACGCUGGCGGCAGGCCUAACACAUGCAAGUCGAGCGGAGCGGCGGACGGGUGAGUAAUGCCUAGGAAUCUGCCUGGUAGUGGGGGAUAACGUCCGGAAACGGGCGCUAAUACCGCAUACUAUCAGAUGAGCCUAGGUCGGAUUAGCUAGUUGGUGGGGUAAAGGCCUACCAAGGCGACGAUCCGUAACUGGUCUGAGAGGAUGAUCAGUCACACUGGAACUGAGACACGGUCCAGACUCCUACGUGAUGCAGCAGUUGGGAAUAUUGGUCAAGUGGAGAAAGCCUGACCCAGCCAUGCCGCUUGUGUGAAGAAGGUCUUCGGAUUGUAAAGCACUUUAAGUUGGGAGGCGUUACCAACAGAAUGUGCACCGGAUAACUUCGUGCCAGCAGCCGCGGUAAUUC
rnacentral:rRNA from 1 species